UACGAAGGGGGCUAGCGUUGCUCGGAAUCACUGGGCGUAAAGGGUGCGUAGGCGGGUCUUUAAGUCAGGGGUGAAAUCCAGGAGCUCAACUCCGGAACUGCCCUUGAUACAGCAAGCCUUGAGUCCGGAAGAGGUAGGUGGAAUUCCUAGUGUAGAGGUGAAAUUCGUAGAUAUUAGGAAGAACACCAGUGGCGAAGGCGGCCUACUGGUCCGGCACUGACGCUGAGGUGCGAAAGCGUGGGGAGCAAACAGG
rnacentral:rRNA from 1 species